ACUCAAAGGAAUUGACGGGGGCCCGCACAAGCGGUGGAGCAUGGGGUUUAAUUCGUCACUAACCGAAGAACCUUACCCAGGCUUGACAUCCCCUGACCGCCGGUGAAAGCCGGUUUUCCUCGCAAGAGGACAGGGUGACAGGUGUUGCAUGGCUGUCGUCAGCUCGUGUCGUGAGAUGUUGGGUUAAGUCCCGCAACGAGCGCAACCCUCAUUGUGUGUUGCUAGCGGAAACGCGCACUCACACGAAACUGCCGGUCUAAGCCGGAGGAAGGCGGGGAUGACGUCAAGUCGGCAUGGCCCUUACGCCUGGGGCUACACCCAUGCUACAAUGGGGCGGACAGAGGGCUGCAAAAUCGCAAGAUGGAGCCAAUCCCAAAAACCGUCUCUCAGUUGGAAUUGGGGUCUGCAACUCGACCCCAUGAACGCGGAAUCGCUAGUAAACGCCGGUCAGCUAAACGGCGUUGAAUCCGUUCCCGGGCCUUGUACACACCGCCCGU
rnacentral:rRNA from 1 species